ACUGUGUAAUGUGGACACCACUUUAAAUGAACAUUUAACUUUACUGUUUGUUUAGAAGGCAUAAUUUUAGAAUAUUUGUCUGCAUUUUGUUUUUCAAUUUUUAAAAGUAAGUAAUUUGUCUUGCUGGUGAUUCAACACAUUGUAUACUGAUCACCUAUGUGUACGAUAAUCAUUAAGCUGAAAAGUCUCGGUGACAGUCUGAAUAACAUGUAUGUGUUCUUAUUGGACAGGAAUUUAUUAGAACUCGUAACGAGCCAUCUAACUUUCUUUCCUUUAUUUUCUUUAUUUCAGUGUUGUGCGCGUGUGACAACCGUCGAGCAGGACAGUGGUGUAGCGCUGGCCAUGAUUGCGAGGCUGCAUUGUGUUACAUGUGACAGGAAGCGUUUAGUGGUGCUGAAAAUAAACUUAGAGUAUUGGUGAUUACUUUAAUGUUGAGUGUUGAAAGGGAACCCUGAAGAAGGCGCGUGGUAACAGUGUUGUGCUGCUCACGGAACGCCUAACCCGAGGAAGCCUUUGACCUGAAUAUCAACAAAAUGGACCAUGCCAGUGAAAGGAUCGGCACCGCUAACGCACUGUGUACUGGUGGCCGUGGAGACCUUAUAAAGACUCGAUAUGGCGAUAGUGCCUCAAGGGAAGGACGGAUGAAGCAAGCAUAACACAGCCACAUGUGCAUGUCGCCUGAGGCCUAUUUGUUGAAUAUCGGGCUGAUUUUACAUCUUCAAGGCCUCUGUUCUCUCAAGAUCUUCAAAG